rnacentral:rRNA from 1 species
GACGAACCCUUGCGGCGUGCUUAACACAUGCAAGUCGAACGGAAAGGCCCUGCUUUUGUGGGGUGCUCGAGUGGCGAACGGGUGAGUAACACGUGAGUAACCUGCCCUUGACUUUGGGAUAACUUCAGGAAACUGGGGCUAAUACCGGAUAGGAGCUCCUGCUGCAUGGUGGGGGUUGGAAAGUUUCGGCGGUUGGGGAUGGACUCGCGGCUUAUCAGCAUGUUGGUGGGGUAGUGGCUUACCAAGGCUUUGACGGGUAGCCGGCCUGAGAGGGUGACCGGCCACAUUGGGACUGAGAUACGGCCCAGACUCCUACGGGAGGCAGCAGUGGGGAAUAUUGCACAAUGGGCGGAAGCCUGAUGCAGCAACGCCGCGUGCGGGAUGACGGCCUUCGGGUUGUAAACCGCUUUCGCCUGUGACGAAGCGUGAGUGACGGUAAUGGGUAAAGAAGCACCGGCUAACUACGUGCCAGCAGCCGCGGUGAUACGUAGGGUGCGAGCGUUGUCCGGAUUUAUUGGGCGUAAAGGGCUCGUAGGUGGUUGAUCGCGUCGGAAGUGUAAUCUUGGGGCUUAACCCUGAGCGUGCUUUCGAUACGGGUUGACUUGAGGAAGGUAGGGGAGAAUGGAAUUCCUGGUGGAGCGGUGGAAUGCGCAGAUAUCAGGAGGAACGCCAGUGGCGAAGGCGGUUCUCUGGGCCUUUCCUGACGCUGAGGAGCGAAAGCGUGGGGAGCGAACAGGCUUAGAUACCCUGGUAGUCCACGCUGUAAACGGUGGGUACUAGGUGUGGGGUCCAUUCCACGGGUUCCGUGCCGUAGCUAACGCUUUAAGUACCCCGCCUGGGGAGUACGGCCGCAAGGCUAAAACUCAAAGGAAUUGACGGGGCCCCGCACAAGCGGCGGAGCAUGCGGAUUAAUUCGAUGCAACGCGUAGAACCUUACCUGGGUUUGACAUGGAUCGGGAGUGCUCAGAGAUGGGUGUGCCUCUUUUGGGGUCGGUUCACAGGUGGUGCAUGCCUGUCGUCAGCUCGUGUCGUGAGAUGUUGGGUUAAGUCCCGCAACGAGCGCAACCCUUGUUCACUGUUGCCAGCACGUUAUGGUGGGGACUCAGUGGAGACCGCCGGGGUCAACUCGGAGGAGGGUGGGGAUGACGUCAAGUCCUCAUGCCCCUUAUGUCCAGGGCUUCACGCAUGCUACAAUGGCUGGUACAGAGAGUGGCGAGCCUGUGAGGGUGAGCGAAUCUCGGAAAGCCGGUCUCAGUUCGGAUUGGGGUCUGCAACUCGACCUCAUGAAGUCGGAGUCGCUAGUAAUCGCAGAUCAGCAACGCUGCGGUGAAUACGUUCCCGGGGCU